rnacentral:sRNA from 1 species
GCCAGGCCUGUAGUCCCAGUUAAUUGGGAGGCUGAGACAGAAGGAUUCCUUGAGCCCAGGAGUUUGAGCUCAGCAUGGGAAACAAAGCCAGACCCUGUAUCUA